rnacentral:rRNA from 1 species
GAUGAACGCUGGCGGCGUGCCUAAUACAUGCAAGUCGAGCGAACAGACCAUGAGCUUGCUCCUCUGACGUUAGCGGCGGACGGGUGAGUAACACGUGGAUCACCUACCUAUAUGACUGGGAUAAUUUCGGGAAACCGGAGCUAAUACCGGAUAAUAUAUUGAACCGCAUGGUUCAAUAGUGAAAGACGGUUUUGCUGUCACUUAUAGAUGGAUCCGCGCGGCAUUAGCUAGUUGGUAAGGUAACGGCUUACCAAGGCGACGAUGCGUAGCCGACAGGAGAGGGUGAUCGGCCACACUGGAACUGAGACAGGGUCAAGACUACUACGGGAGGCAGCAGUAGGGAAUCUUCGGCAAUGGGCGAAAGCAUGACGGAGCAACGCCGCGUGAGUGAUGAAGGUCUUCGGAUCGUAAAGACCUGUUAUUAGGGAAGAACAGAUGUGGAAGGAAAUAUGGAGGUCGUGACGGUACCUAAUCAGAAAGCCACGGCUAACUACGUG